CUGGUCGAUUGUAACCUGUAGGUUUGGCUGAAUUACCAUUCCGCCCAUUACCAAUAUAAACUGAAUUCUCACCUGUGUUCGAGAGGUGCUUCAUGAACCUCGUUGACCUUGUGUCUCUGAACACCUGGCCCGAAACGAAGAUACCACAAAGGAUCAAAUCAGAUUUUCAGCACUGGGCGUUGUUUGUGCGUGGGCGGGGGGUGCUGGAGGAAGACAUGGUUUCCCAGGCUGCGACGCUGGCGGCUAUCCUUCAAUCAGACGGAUUCCCGAUGGCGUCGAGGGCCGUCGGAGCGGCAGGAAACUUCUCGAUUGGCCGGGACAGAACCGAGGAGACGCGUGUCGUCAGGCAGACGGAGGUCGAGAGCAGAUGUGUGGAUUCUGCUCAGCUCCAUGUGAGCCCGGAAUUAGGGCUGUGGUCAAAUGGUUUCACGGCUCGAAGGAGGUGAAAGAGGGGAUCAUGAGAGAAGGAGAGGAAGAGAGCAGAGUGUCAGAAGCCUCAUCUAAACACCGUGAUUCAUCUGAGGUCGGCCAGGGAGCCACAACCCAGCAUCUCUGCUCCGGGACCCUGCUGAAGGGGCGGCGUCUCGGCUCGCUGUGUAAACAGUCUUCAAAUAAGAUCUCGGCGGUAAGCCUUCACAGAUUUCGCUCACUUCAACAAGAGGAGGCCUGGAUCCAUAUUUAGAGCUGUUCCGCUCUACUGUUGACUCUCUCCACUAGGCUAGUCUACCCGACGACACACGCAACCCCACUUAAACCACACUGCCGCUUUAAUCGAUGUCGAAAACAAGAGCUUGUUGUGUCAUUCCUUUGGCUGUUGUCAGGAGACAGAAAUAAGGCCCCGGUAGUAAAACGUAUUUUCAGGCAGACGCACUAUUGGUUAUUGUAGUGAAUGGUAAAUGGACUGCAGUUAGACAGUGCUUUUCUACCCAGUGGCCUCUCAAAGCGUUAGGGUUAGGGCCUAACAAUCACCCAUUCAUGCACACAUUCACACACCGACAGCGGACUGAACCAUACAAGGUGACAGCCAGCUCAGAGACACCUCGACACUAGGAGGAGCCGGGGAUCGAACUCGCAACCUUCAGGACACCAGCCGACCCGCUCUACCUCCUGGGCCACAUGCCGCCCAUGUGGGUGUCUGUCUGUGUAUUUGAGAGGAUCCAGCUCUCUGGAACCUCCUGCUGACUCAGAGGACGGUUGUGUUCCACCUCUACCAGGCUGAGCACAGAAAGAGAA
ensembl:lncRNA